UGUGCUACUGGUAGGUUAGGACGGAGCCAGUUUCACACUGUGUGGGUUUGCCGUGGUACUUAGAGUGACCUGGGAGAUAUUGACUGCAACUCUUUGCAGUACACACACACACACACAUAUAUGCAUAUAAUAUCUAAACACCUGGCUGUAAACUCUUAAGUAUUUAAAUUUGGAAACACAGCUGCAAGGAGGGGAAACUACUCCUUCAAGUGGAUCCCAAAAGCUUGCAGAAGACAAAAAUGGCUGCAAGUUGGACUGCUAAAAGCUGAAACCUUGGCCAUAAAGACUUCAUCGCUAUCGCUGAAAACACAGCCAGCCAUAGCAACCAGCUUUGGUGAGCACAGAGACUUCAUCCCUUACCCUCAGGCAUGUCCCCCUGUGGUUUCUACCAGAACAGAGAGAUUUCCUAGGACAGGAAAACAACCGUCAAGCAAAAAAACAUUCCCUGCCAUCCCAGGCCUCAGUUCCUUCUGGUGGUUGUUGGUUCAUAACAGCUUCUCUUUCCUCCUGACUAUCAGCCCAGGUUUUGCUGCAGAUGGAGGUGUUAAAUCCCUAAUACAACAGCUGAUCACAGAGCCAAAAUGCAGGGACAAAUUAUUUUAAACUUUUCCCCACUGCCAUUUCUCCAGAACCAUUUGGAUCUUGUUUGGUAAGUCACCUUUGCUGGACCAACGCUACCAAGUGUUACUUUAUCAGCCCAGCGCUUCCUCAGCUGUACGCUGGUUUGCACUGAAGGCUGUUCUGGUUCUUACCUGGGUUUAAAAAUCCGUAUUGCACAUCUCCCCAAAGCUCACUUUUGCUCUGGAGCUAUUUGCAAAGCCCAAAGUAUCAACGCUUUCCCAGGGGGUCUGGCCAAGUUUCACAGCCGCCUGUGCGGAUGCCCCUGCUCCUGAAUCGCACAGAGCUGGGGCCGUCUCAGCGCCCGUGAGUUCAGGUUUUGUGUAUUUGGAAGUUGUGAAGUUUUGCAGAUCCCCCAUUCGACACAGACCGGGUUUUUGGGGAGUGGUUUCUGCAGGUGAUAGCACAGGUUAGCCCCACCGUCCUGCGGUGAGGUUGGUGAAGCAACCCACGAGAGCUCAGAAGCUUUAUGGCUCCUGGUGCCUUUCCAAAGCAGGUGAUGGACUAGCUAAGUAGAGCUUCAAAAUCCUUCUUGAACACAGUUCUCAGGCAGGUGAAAUUAGGUAUUUCUCAGAGUGUCUGGUCCCCAAAUUUAUUUUUCUGUCAAGAGCUCAUACUUUUCUUGUGGUAGUUCAGUUUUUAAUGCCAACUGUCUGCCAAGCUUUCUCUGAACCGAAGCCCUCAAGUCAUUCAACGUGGUCCACAAGGCUUUAGUGCUUUACUGAGCAUUAGUCAAGACCAGCGGCAUUGCGUAAUUUCCUGGAACCAAAGCUUUUCUUGAACCUUUAUCUGAGAGCAAAAGGCACUCAGAAGCCUCCUGGGUUGAUGAUGGAUGGAAGGGAGAAACAAAUAUCCCAAAGCCAAGAGCUCAGAUCAGGAUCUCGGCAAACUUACGCUGCAGCCAGCACGAGCGAGGAGCGGGCAGGAUGCUCCCCGUGCUCACAUGAAGGUCUGCGCAUUCAAGGGCAUCCAGGGAUGGCUUUAACAGAGCAGCCCCACUGGCAAUGGCUUCUUCAUUUACACAUAUUUCCUUUAAGGUUUUUUUGCUAUUUUUAGAAUUAAUUCAGUGCUCGCCAGCUGCCUUUGAUUCCACAAGAGAAGCUGAAUGAACACUAUUUUCCACUCCCAUUGUCUCUCCUUGCUAAAUACUAUUGCUGUUCUCAUACUUUUAUGACCGUGGGGUCGGCACUCUACACACCACCACUCAUGGCCCUACUAUUAUACUUUUGGCAGGAACAUGUUAGGUUUUUAUGGGAAUUAAAAAGCAUGAGUGAGAGAGAGAACCUGAACCAAAGACAACAUAAAGGGCCUUAUUUCUUUGGGUAGAAGCCCAACAAAAUUAUUAAAUCGCUCAAAGCAGAACAGAAAGCAGCUCUCUCCAAGAUGCUAAGCUGAGAGACACCACGCUCCAGCGGUUACUUAGUGACCCAUGGAGAAAGGAAAAUAUUCCAAGAGGAGGUUGCUGUAAAAGGGGGAUGGCUGCUGUUGACACUGCUGGUUGCACUAGGACAGUAAGUUGGAGUCCCGGUUGGAGAGUGUUUGUCCAAGACCAGCUGUGUUCACGGCUUUUUCCUCCUGCCCCUGUGUAACAUGCUCAUCCUCUUCACUCCUGUAGCUUUCCUGUGCUCUAUUGCCUAAGAGAAAACCACCACUGGUUGAGAAUGAAUGGCAUCAUCACCGGGAGCUGGACCCAGGGCAUCUGCUCCAGGGUGGCCCCAGCUCCAUCUUCAGGCAUCAGAGCAGAAGGUCCCACCAGCAGCCUGGGGACACUCGGUUCUUCCUCCCGGGCUGUGGAAGGAGAUGUCAGAACCCCAAAAGAUCAGAAAUAGCUUUCUGAAGAAAAAAAAAAAAGGACUUAAAAAGUGAGUUAAACCUGAAUGUUAACUUUAACUAGGUCCUACUGACCUUUGGUGGCUGGAGCACUGCAGCGUGCGUGCUCCUUCCAGCAGCGAGGGGAGAUGAGCCCUGCGCGGGACCGGAAUAGCUGUGAAAUUCUGAGAAGUUUGGGUUUGGUUCCAAACUUUAUCACCGACCGCUGCCGUGGCCAAACCAGUGGCUUUGAUGUGAAAUCCCAAACUCUGCAGGCAUCUGAGUCUGAACACUGAGGGCCGGUUACGCUGCCAAUAACAAGCAAACUCUGUGUGAGCUCCAAAAUAGCAGUGCACGCUGGGGGCCAUGGAAAAGGAGCGAGGUCCUUUUCCCUUCCCAUUUUAAAAUUAUUGCAGACUUCACUCAAUAGUACACUCAAUAGUGUUCUUCCCUUUGCUUGCAUUACAAAGGCGGCCUUGAUGAGAAUUUUGGCAACUUGGGGGAUUGCUAAUGGCCCAAAAGUUUUUUGCAUGUCUGGAUUGCCAGGUCACACUCAGACCGGGCUGUUUGUGGCUUCAAGGGUAUUCUUGUGGCUCUCUUGUGGCUCCUGUGACACAAAUUUAGUGGCCAGCUAAGACUAACCUCCCAGCAGUACAGUGAGCGCCCCACGUUUUCGGUAGCAGCCUCAGCAGAGGAGCCAAGUGGAGAAGAGCCACGCUGGGUCCCAUGGGGCUCCCAGCAGAGCUGGGCACCAUCUGGGCAUGUCCCUCUGCCUGGAGGACUGUCCCUGCCGUGGUCCCUGCUCCCCAGGGGAACUAAUUCCACGCCUUCUCUGGCCAGCCCUCUGUACACAUGCAGUAGCUGCAGACCACAAGGAUGGGAAGUUGUUGCUUCUCACCUGGGAGAUGAGCAUCUUCCACAACCAUCCACAAACCUUCACCCACCAGUUAAACUUGUUAGUAGCUUAAUGAGCCAUCUCAUCAGAGGCUACCUAGACCAAGAGCGGUGAGGAACUGGGGGGGAGAAAAAGUCCCUUGCCCUGUUGCUAAAAUUUUUCUGCCUGUUUUUCUCUCAUGCCCAUUUCUCCAACACGUCCUUUCUGCUCCUUUUUCUUUUGACUCCUCCUGACUUGCUUGAACAGAUCCGUUUUCCUGAGAUGGAUUGCAGGAAUUUUGCAUGUUCAGGUUGCACCAGACGCUGGUGGAGCCCAGCACGGUGUCUGCAGCUGAGCACGCUGGAUCGUCAGCACAGCCUCCUCCCAACUCUGACGCCCAGACGGUGCCUCUGUCCCACGGUUUGUCCCUGAGGCUGUCAGGUGACCAGUUAAGGACUGGAAAGAAAUGCUGUGGAUGGCCUCUGUUAAGCACUCCUUCAGAACAAGUGUGGAUGCGUUGAUGAAAAGUGCAGUUAAUCCCAGUUGUCAUCUAUCUGAUCAGAUAAAGAUCAUCCAGCAAACUCCAAGUGGGCGAGAAGCCAACUAAACCCAGGAGUCCUCUAAGGUUUUGUCAGACUUCAGUUAAUGAGACCAGUGUCUCCUGAAUCGGGCUCUGGGCGUGUGACUCAGCUGUGACCAGUCCGUGUUGCCUCCUGAUGGGCUCCUUUCCCGUUCCCACCUUUGACUGCAGCCACCUGCAGAGAGCAGGCGCUUCCCAGGCAGUUCAGACACGACAGAUGGGAACGGGAAGCACUUACAACAGAGCAGAGAGGGCCGCGGGGAUGUGUGUGUGUCCUGGGGGCAGAACUGCAGGGGUGAGGACCUCCCUGAGCCUGCCAACAGCCAGACGUCUUGCUUUAAAGUCAUGCGUGACUUUGUGUGGCUUUGAGGCUGGGACACCCCAGCUUCUUCUUUAAGCUGGGACAUCUACUGCAACAUCUCAGCAAACUGGUGGUAUCCGUGGGGAGACAGGAAAACAAGGUGAUGAUCCGCUUUCUAAUUAUCUUCCAGCCUCUCCCACCUCCCCACCCACGCCCUUUUGCAAUCUGGUGAUUAAUUUAAUUACGGUUCCAGAUCCAGGAGCUGAUCCAGCCGGAGAGCAGGAGCUUUGCCAGGAGGGUCUUGCCCCAUGUGUCCUGUCCAGGUUCAGACCAAGACCAUGGACGUGUACAUGAGCAACGCUGGCUGCAGAAGCAAAUCCCAUUGCCUCAUGUGAGGGAUUGAAGCGCUAGCUCCUGGAGCAAGCCAGAUGCGUGGGAACUGCCGCAUGGAAAGAACACACUGGACAAGAAGUUGCAAAAGCUCAGUCUCUCCAGCAAAGGAUGGGGUAGAAGAUGUGUUACACCCAGAGCAUCCAACACCUCUGGGUGUUGCAGUGGGAGAUAAUGCAAUUGCCUGGUUAUUGGGAGGAGCCCGGGGGUGGCUGCUGCUCCCCUGCCCCGUCCCUGGCUCCCUCCUUCCCUCCCCAGGAGAGCUCGGCUUUAUUUUAAGACACCGUUCAGGGGUGAGGCCGGUCCAGCGCAGGCGAUGCUUUCAUUGCAGCACGCUCUGCGCUGGAGCUGCGGCUCUUCCCUGGGGACCGGGGUUGGAGCAAGGACCGUGGGCCCAGGGUUGGGCUGCCAGGGCCGUGGCCGUCACCGCUGUGCCCGUGCUGGCUCGGGUGACAGCCGGGAGCAGCCUGUGACCCAGGGCACCCAGUGCUCGCCCCCUCAUCCCAGGGGAUUUGUGGUGGGCACCUCUAGCUCUGCUGCCCCAGUAGCACUGCAACAGGCAUCCUAAUUACAAAAGGCAAUUAGUGGAGUGACACCGAGGGCUUCCCCUUCCCUCCAGGAGGCAGCAUGCACUCCCUGCCUUUUACAAGUGCCCUUUUCCCCCUCGCAGGCUCACGCUGAGACCAACAUAAAGCAUCAUCCCUUCCCCUGUGCUUUGCUGCAGCGCUGCUUCCCGGCACCUUGCUCCUGCGGACCGAGAUGCGCAAGCACGGAGCAGCCACUAACAUGUGCCACGAGUUACUCAGUCCUCAUGGUCUCAUCUCUGGCACCCGAGGAGGAUGGCUGUGGGCCACCGAGGCUGCUGAGGACUCAGAGAUGAUGAUCCAGGAAAACCACCCAGCGCCAUCCAGCCCUGCAAGUCUGGCAAACUGAGGCAAAUAUUUGCAGACCAAAAAAAAAGACCCAAGGGGCAGAGCCAGGAGUGACCAGUGCCACACAAAACUGCGGCUCGCGCAAACAAGAGCUGGCUGAGCGACGGGUGGAAGCAUUUGCGGUUUGGUUGGGUUCCUGCGCUAAUUAAGGGCCACAUCCAGCUAGGAGCCACCUAGGAGCUGGUGAAAACUGCACCCAGCUGCAAGGAGGCUCGUUUCUGCAGGAAAAGGGCAGUAGUGCUUCCAAAACAAC